CACGUAGGGGCCAAGCGUUGUCCGGAUUUAUUGGGCGUAAAGAGCUCGUAGGCGGCUCGGUAAGUCGGGUGUGAAACCUCCAGGCUCAACCUGGAGACGCCACCUGAUACUGCUGUGGCUAGAGUCCGGUAGGGGAGCGUGGAAUUCCUGGUGUAGCGGUGAAAUGCGUAGAUAUCAAGAGGAACACCUGCGGCGAAGGCGGGUUGCUGGGCCGACACUGACGCUGAGGCGCGAAAGCCAGGGGAGCGAACGGG
rnacentral:rRNA from 1 species